rnacentral:rRNA from 1 species
GACGUAGGGCGCGAGCGUUGUCCGGAUUUAUUGGGCGUAAAGAGCUCGUAGGCGGUUUGUCGCGUCUGCCGUGAAAGUCCGGGGCUCAACUCCGGAUCUGCGGUGGGUACGGGCAGACUAGAGUGAUGUAGGGGAGACUGGAAUUCCUGGUGUGGCGGUGAAAUGCGCAGAUAUCAGGAGGAACACCGAUGGCGAAGGCAGGGUCUCUGGGCAUUAACUGACGCUGAGGAGCGAAAGCAUGGGGAGCGAACAGG